UAUUUUUCUGUUAUGUUAGCCCCUCGAACUACCCAAUACCGUUCAUAAACUGUGUUAGGUGGGUUCGCUCAAUUAUUUUAUGACGUGGAUAUAGUCAAAGCGGUAUUUGACCAAUGGGCCUCCUCGUCCGGUGGUUUAUCAUUGCUGCCAGCGUCUCCUCUCUGCCACGUGAUGCACUCACCUUGCAGUCCCGCUGCCAGGAACCUCCGCCGUGCGUGCCUAAUCGAAUUGCUGCGCCUCCUCCCCCUCUUGCCUUCCCUCCCAUCCUCCCCGCUGCUUCCCCAUCCGACGACCUCGUGGUCGCACUCAACGGCGGCCGACGACUUUGAAGCUUCCGGGGGCUGUAGCUAUAGCGCGAUAUCGAGCAAAAGAAGAGAGUGGGAAUGAUCAGUAGCCCACAGCGGUUGUUCCAGCGCAAACGGAGAGGCCGGGGAAGCACAAUAGGCGGCGAAUUUGGCAAUGGAGUCCGGCGGCCGUAGUCGGGGAAGACGACCCGGUUCGCACGGCUCUGGGAAGCCGGAGUCUAUUCCUUCGCCUGGGAUGUCGAGGGUGACAAGGUGGAUCUCUGCGGCGCAUUGGUUUGGCGAGGGGUGGUCGUUGGACCCGAAGACGACACCAACGUCCAUGGUGCUCUCGGGGAUUUUUGGAUCGCGAGAAAGAGGGGAAUGGCCACAUGGGAGAGGGGUAGGCAGGCAAGAAGCUCGGAUGUUCAAUAUCCCCUCCUCCUCCUCGUCUGCUCCAUUGGAACUGCGGUGAGGCUAGAGGAGCUCAUGGGCAUCGAGUUCGACGGCAAGACAACUGUGGGUGGCGGAGCUUGGACAAGCGGGGGGAGGUCCUCGAGGACGCGCGGCUCCAAAUGGAUGGGUUGUUCAGCUUGAGGUGAGCAGCACGGUGCUCGGGAAGCAGAUGAGGAUAAGUGGUGGUCGCCGGAGGAAGAGAUCGAGGCGGCGGCGCUGUCGACGUACAGGAGGAGAUAGGGGCUGCGGCUGACGAAAGGGCCAUGUUGGUCAAAUACAGCUUUGACCUCAUCCAGGCGCCGGAGGCAAUCUCCGUUUGGGAUUAAAUUGGUCAACCAAGAUUUGGUCAAAGAAGAUCGUGGGUGCCUCCCUCUUUUUAUUUUCUGAGUCAUGGGUGUCAUCCUCCUUGCAAAUUUGUAUGAUGGCUGAAGCAAUGAUUGAUGUGUGCUAAUCUUCGUACUGAAACUAAUACCCCUAAUAAUAUGGGAAGGAGGGAGUACAACCUUUUGCGUUUGUGUGUGAA